CUACGGGUCGCUGCAGUGGGGAAUAUUGGACAAUGGGCGCAAGCCUGAUCCAGCAAUACCGCGUGAGUGAUGACGGCCUUCGGGUUGUAAAGCUCUUUUAGUGGAAACGAUAAUGACGGUAUCCACAGAAAAAGCACCGGCUAACUUCGUGCCAGCAGCCGCGGUAAUACGAAGGGUGCUAGCGUUGUUCGGAAUUAUUGGGCGUAAAGAGUACGUAGGCGGCUUAGUAAGUUGGCUGUGAAAGCCCCAGGCUCAACCUGGGAAUUGCAGCCAAAACUGCUUCGCUGGAGUUUGGUAGGGGAUAAUGGAAUUCCUAGUGUAGGGGUGAAAUCCGUAGAUAUUAGGAGGAAUAUCGGUGGCGAAGGCGAUUAUCUGGGCCAAUACUGACGCUGAGGUACGAAGGCGUGGGGAGCAAACAGGAUUAGAUACCCCAGUAGUC
rnacentral:rRNA from 1 species